GCACAAGCGGUGGAGCAUGUGGUCUAAUUCGAUGCAACGCGAAGAACCUUACCUGGGCUUGACAUCCCGGGAAUCCCUUGGAAACAAGGGAGUGCCCUUCGGGGAACCUGGAGACAGGUGCUGCAUGGCUGUCGUCAGCUCGUGUCGUGAGAUGUAGGGUUAAGUCCCGCAACGAGCGCAACCCUUAUCAUUAGUUGCUACGCAAGGGCACUCUAAUGAGACUGCCGGUGACAAACCGGAGGAAGGUGGGGAUGACGUCAAGUCCUCAUGGCCCUUAUGGGUAGGGCUUCACACGUCAUACAAUGGUCGGUACAGAGGGUUGCCAAGCCGCGAGGCGGAGCCAAUCCCACAAAGCCGAUCGUAGUCCGGAUUGUUCUCUGCAACUCGAGAGCAUGAAGUCGGAAUCGCUAGUAAUCGCAGGUCAGCAUACUGCGGUGAAUACGUUCCCGGGUCUU
rnacentral:rRNA from 1 species